AUAUUGAAAAAUAAGAUUGACAUUUGUUUUUGAAAGAAAAAAGAUUCGUUGCUAAUGUUACUCAGUUCAGUUUUUAACAAUCAUCAUUCAAUUGUUAAAUAGAAGUGAAUGACAGAUUCACACAUAAUUUAUCAUCCAUUUGUUGACAUCUGAGAAAAUUUUUUCGAUCAAAUUGUAUUUUAUUUACUAAGAAUUUGUUAGCUAUGUCGAUAUCGAUUCCGAAUUACAGUGUGAUAUGAUUAGAUGGGGAGGAGAAACCACGAUUAGUAGCCUCCAAAUGGAUCGUAGAAAAUGAAGACAAACAAGUUUUUUGCUUUUUACUUUCUGUAGAAGAUAAAAUUAAAUACAAUACAGCCGUGUUCAAGCUCAACGAAAUGGAAGAACAAUGGAAUAGUAGUCUUGUAAAAGAAAUAAAGUAUCAAACAGAUGACUAUAAAAAAGGAAAAGACAAGCUACUGGAAGCACUUUUACAUUCAGACAUAGAUAGUCAAGCUAGCGAUUACGAUCAAGACUUCUUGAAGAAAACUAGAAAGAUGAGAGCAUCUCAAACUUUUACAUCGAAAAGUAAUAAUGACACCAAUUCUUCAAAUGUGAAAGAAAAAAAGGCAGGUGCUGGAAGCAAAUUUCCUUGUAUGCCAGAGUCUAAAUUUAAAGCACCGUUAGAAUUAGUUGAUAAUUGCAAAAAAGUUUCGUCUUGUUCUGAGGUGCCAAUUAAGAACAAGCCAACUAUCGUUUCUAACAUCGCAUUCAAUUCAGUGCCAUUGCGAAAUUUUAAACUGGAAAAAAAGACGAAACUGUAUUAAAUCAAAACCGAGGUACAUGAAAGGCAAACAGCCCGCAUGAAAACUAGAUCAGAAUGGUUUUUGAUGCCUGAAGUUGAUAGACUGACUGAUUUUGAUAGCGAUUCAACGCCUUUGUACAUACUUAGAGGUUUAAACAAAUCAUCUUCAGGAAAUUUAGCAUCAGGGCUUAGUGUGAGUGCAGAUUCCAUUAAAAGGUCAUGUAUUCGAAAAGCAUCAUCUAAAGAAAAGUGUAAUCUUCAUAGAAGUUCAUCACGAAAAAACAAAGAAAAUGGUGUGAAAAUUCGAACUAUAGAGAGCAAAUCUCAUUCUUUAGAAACUAUAAAAUUAAAUUCACCUAGUCUAUUGAUAAAUCAACAAUUAGAUGAUACUACCAGAAACGCAUCUAAUACAAGUACAACAGAGAAAAAUUGUAAUUCUUUAGAACGAAAUAUUUCUGUAGGUCCCCAUGAUUGUACAGAAAUAGAUAUACAAACAUUUCAUGUCACUUUAACAUACAAACCACGCAUUUGAAACGACGUAGAAGAAAUAACAAGACAAUAAAUAAUCUUUCUGUUAUGUCAUUUGUAUUUUUUACAAUGAAUAUCCUAAAAUUGAUAAUAAUAUUAAUCAUCAGUUGUGAUUUACAGAGUAAUACACGGUGCGCCAUAACCCGACCCAACCCAAAAGUCCU